AAGAGUUCAUAUCGACGGCGGUGUUUGGCACCUCGAUGUCGGCUCAUCACAUCCUGGGGCUGAAGUAGGUCCCAAGGGUAUGGCUGUUCGCCAUUUAAAAGUGGUACGCGAGCUGGGUUUAGAACGUCGUGAGACAGUUCGGUCCCUAUCUGCCGUGGGCGCUGGAGAAUUGAGGGGGGCUGCUCCUAGUACGAGAGGACCGGAGUGGACGCAUCACUGGUGUUCGGGUUGUCAUGCCAAUGGCACUGCCCGGUAGCUAAAUGCGGAAGAGA
rnacentral:rRNA from 1 species